CUCUGCGUGAAGAAAGGUUUUUUUUAGGGGAUUCGAAGGAUAGAGGUGGGGGAUUUGUACGGUUUGUGGAGCGAAGUGACAUCGAAAUUCGGUUGUUUACUCGGUACUUUUUUUUAAAUCAUAAUUGAGAUAUUUUCCGACUAAUUUAGAUGAAAGAAUUGUUUAAUUGUUAGUAUAUCAAAGUGAGACGAUCGAUAUUCCUUAUAUAAGUGUUAAAAUACUCCUAGGAUUUAUCCAAAACAAACAGGAAAGUUGAUAUAUAAAAAUUUUUACUUAUUUAUUAAGCAAUUUUUUAAGUUUGCUUUAGAAUAAAUGGAAAUAAAACUGUAAAAGAAUAAGAUGAUUUGACUCUUCAAAGAUAGAAUUGUUCCAUUUUAUUUUUAUUUCAUUUAAUGCAAACUUAAAUUAUAUUUUAAUAAAUAAAUUUCAAUAAAUAUUUUUAUAUAUUAACUUUUGUAUUUUUUUUCAUCUCUAAAAUCUAUUUUUCAAAGAUAUUCUAUGAAUAUCUUACCUUAUCAUAAUGGUAAAUAUAUCUAUGAUAAAUAUAUCACAUAUAAUAUAUAUAUAUUUUUUUGUUUAUUUGUAUGCAUAUUAUAAAUAUGUUUUUGUAUUUAUUUAUAUUAUACAAUUUUUUUAAUUAAAAUAUUUUUGUUAAACCAAAUGAAUUAUAUUCAAAAUUGUCAAACUAACUAAUAAUACUUUGUUCCAGCAUAAUGAAAUCUGAAAUGAAACAAAACAAUCGAUCUUUUUAUACUUCUAAACUUGAUUCACACUACAAUUAGAUCUUGUCAAUAUCGCUCAUAUGAUAAUCCAAUAAAAAUAUUCCUAGAAGAUCAAAUCAAAGUAAAAUAAACUUAUAGUGAAAUCGAUUUACUAUAAUCAAGAUCAUGGCAUUUCAAUUAUUAUUUGAUAAUUGAAAAAAAAAUAUGACGAGCAUUAAAUUCAUCCAAAAUUUAUUAUAUGAUUGAAUUGUAUGAUUUCAAUCACAAAGAUGAGGCCAGUAGGAAUGAAUCGUUCCUGUACGAAAUACAGCGUAUAUCACUGUGGGACGACAGUAAGGUCGUAAAUCAAGGGCCUUUCAACGUGACCGGUUGAAAAAUCCGAUUCUUAAAAAUCGGUGCAUCAGGAGAACCUGUUCUGGGAAGAAGCGAGCUGUCUUCCUGUUACGUGGGAGCAUUUCGUUAUGCUGGUUAUGUCGAGUGACCUCUAAGUGAGAUUCGAAAAGCGGGAAAUAUAAGAAAGUGGAUCGUGGGUGGUAAUAUAGAUGUAAUAGUAAUAAAGAAUGUUUUAAGACUGAUCAAAAGAAAAAAUCCGGAUGACCAUGUUUCAUUUAAUCUUUGGAAAGAAGAGUUGUGUUUGGAGGUAAUAAUUUAAUUUUAUAUCGAAAUUUGUACGAGAUUAUCCAUGAAAAAUUAGGUUUUAUGAAUGAGGAUUAUAAAAUAGAAAAAUAUGUUUGAUACUGUAAAAAGAAGAAUUAUUAUUAUUAUUUUUUGAGGAGAAAAAGAGAAAAUAAAUAUAGGUUAUGUUUUAUAUAUAUAUAUAAAGUAUUGAAAUUAGAAAUGUUGUAGAGUAUAGAGAAGUUAUAUAGAAAGGUUAUAUAUAUAAAAUUGUAGAGUGAAAAUAGGUUAAUUAAGGAGAUAGGUUGUAUUGCAUAGAGCACCAAGAUUAUAUAGAAUUUUGAAUAGAGAGAUUAUGUAUAUAUAGAGUUAUAUAAUGGAAAUAAAUUUAAUUAAGAUAAUAAGUUCGUAGAAAGAAAAUGAUGUGAUGUAUUAAUCUAACUUUUUUUUUAAGAAAUAUAUUUUGAAAUGAGAAAU